AAAAAAAAGAAAAAGAAAAACAAAAGUAGCAUCAGCACUGAGUCGGUGAAAUGUCUUGGUCUAUAAUAAUAUACAUUGAAAACAGCUUCUGCAACUAUGAAUUUAACAAGGAAGAGAAAAUGAGAUUGGAUAAUAUUACAAACACGAAUUCACCAUGGAAGAGAAAAACAGACAUCCACACAUCUUUUAUAACAUUUUUAUCAGAAUUUUUGGAGAUUAUUAUUCAUCACUUUACUUGCCAAGCGACUGCUCAUAGCAGGUGGUAGCUACUUAAAUAACUAGUAGGAACAAUGUUUUUUUUUUUUUUUUUU
rnacentral:misc_RNA from 1 species